GACGAACGCUGGCGGCGUGCUUAAUACAUGCAAGUCGAACGGAAAGGCCCUGCGCUUGUUGGGCGCUCGAGUGGCGAAGGGGGGAGUAAAACGCGUGGAAACUGCCCCUGUCAGUGUGAUAACUUCAGGAAAAUGGGGCUAAUACCGGGUAGGAUCUCCUGAUGCAUGGGGGGGGUUGGAAAGUUUCGGCGGUGGGGGAUGGACUCGCGGCGUAUCAGCUUGUUGGUAGGGUAGUGGCUUACCAAGGCUACGACGGGUAGCCGACCUGAGAGGGUGAUCGGCCCCACGGGAACUGAGACACGGUCCAGACUCCUACGGGAGGCAGCAGGAGGGAAUCUUCCGCAAUGGGCGAAAGCUUGACGGAGCAACGCCGCGUGAGUGAUGAAGGUCUUCGGAUCGUAAAACUCUGUUAUUAGGGAAGAACAAAUGUGUAAGUAACUAUGCACGUCUUGACGGUACCUAAUCAGAAAGCCACGGCUAACUACGUG
rnacentral:rRNA from 1 species